AUGUACCACGCGGACCCUCCGGUUCUGAGCGCGCCGUCCGCACCCACCUGACAGCUGCUCGCUACGUUUUGUUCGCC
rfam:Xanthomonas oryzae pv. oryzae KACC10331, complete genome.